GCCGCUGCGACUGUUUAUUAAAAACACAGCACUCUGCAAACACGAAAGUGGACGUAUAGGGUGUGACGCCUGCCCGGUGCCGGAAGGUUAAUUGAUGGGGUUAGCGCAAGCGAAGCUCUUGAUCGAAGCCCCGGUAAACGGCGGCCGUAACUAUAACGGUCCUAAGGUAGCGAAAUUCCUUGUCGGGUAAGUUCCGACCUGCACGAAUGGCGUAACGAUGGCGGCGCUGUCUCCACCCGAGACUCAGUGAAAUUGAAAUCGCUGUGAAGAUGCAGUGUAUCCGCGGCUAGACGGAAAGACCCCGUGAACCUUUACUGUAGCUUUGCACUGGACUUUGAGCCUGCUUGUGUAGGAUAGGUGGGAGGCUUUGAAGCGUGGACGCCAGUUCGCGUGGAGCCAUCCUUGAAAUACCACCCUGGCAUGCUUGAGGUUCUAACUCUGGUCCGUGAUCCGGAUCGAGGACAGUGUAUGGUGGGCAGUUUGACUGGGGCGGUCUCCUCCUAAAGAGUAACGGAGGAGUACGAAGGUGCGCUCAGACCGGUCGGAAAUCGGUCGCAGAGUAUAAAGGCAAAAGCGCGCUUGACUGCGAGACAGACACGUCGAGCAGGUACGAAAGUAGGUCUUAGUGAUCCGGUGGUUCUGUAUGGAAGGGCCAUCGCUCAACGGAUAAAAGGUACUCCGGGGAUAACAGGCUGAUACCGCCCAAGAGUUCAUAUCGACGGCGGUGUUUGGCACCUCGAUGUCGGCUCAUCACAUCCUGGGGCUGAAGCCGGUCCCAAGGGUAUGGCUGUUCGCCAUUUAAAGUGGUACGCGAGCUGGGUUUAGAACGUCGUGAGACAGUUCGGUCCCUAUCUGCCGUGGACGUUUGAGAUUUGAGAGGGGCUGCUCCUAGUACGAGAGGACCGGAGUGGACGAACCUCUGGUGUUCCGGUUGUCACGCCAGUGGCAUUGCCGGGUAGCUAUGUUCGGAAAAGAUAACCGCUGAAAGCAUCUAAGCGGGAAACUUGCCUCAAGAUGAGAUCUCACUGGGAACUUGAUUCCCCUGAAGGGCCGUCGAAGACUACGACGUUGAUAGGCUGGGUGUGUAAGCGUUGUGAGGCGUUGAGCUAACCAGUACUAAUUGCCCGUGAGGCUUGACCA
rnacentral:rRNA from 1 species